rnacentral:rRNA from 1 species
GACGAACGCUGGCGGCGUGCUUAACACAUGCAAGUCGAACGGAAAGGCCCUGCUUUUGUGGGGUGCUCGAGUGGCGAACGGGUGAGUAACACGUGAGUAACCUGCCCUUGACUUUGGGAUAACUUCAGGAAACUGGGGCUAAUACCGGAUAGGAGCUCCUGCUGCAUGGUGGGGGUUGGAAAGUUUCGGCGGUUGGGGAUGGACUCGCGGCUUAUCAGCUUGUUGGUGGGGUCGUGGCUUACCAAGGCCUUGACGGGUAGCCGGCCUGUGAGGGUGACCGGCCACAUUGGGACGGGGAUACGGCCCAUACUCCUACGGGAGGCAGCAGUGGGGAAUAUUGCACAAUGGGCGGAAGCCUGAUGCAGCAACGCCGCGUGCGGGAUGACGGCCUUCGGGUUGUAAACCGCUUUCGCCUGUGACGAAGCGUGAGUGACGGUAAUGGGGAAAGAAGCACCGGCUAACACGUG